GCGGUUUGUUAAGUCGGAUGUGAAAGCCCCGGGCUCAACCUGGGAAUUGCAUUCGAUACUGGCCGACUAGAGUACGAGAGAGGGAGGUGGAAUUCCAGGUGUAGCGGUGAAAUGCGUAGAUAUGUGGAGGAAUACCGGUGGCGAAGGCGGCCUCCUGGCUCGAUACUGACGCUGAGGUGCGAAAGCGUGGGKAGCAAACAGGAUUAGAUACCCUGGUAGUCCACGCCGUAAACGAUGUCUACUAGCCGUUGGGAGACUUGAUUUCUUAGUGGCGCAGCUAACGCMCUAAGUAGACCGCCUGGGGA
rnacentral:rRNA from 1 species